AUUGAACGCUGGCGGCAGGCCUAACACAUGCAAGUCGAGCGGAGCGGCGGACGGGUGAGUAAUGCCUAGGAAUCUGCCUGGUAGUGGGGGAUAACGUCCGGAAACGGGCGCUAAUACCGCAUACUAUCAGAUGAGCCUAGGUCGGAUUAGCUAGUUGGUGGGGUAAAGGCCUACCAAGGCGACGAUCCGUAACUGGUCUGAGAGGAUGAUCAGUCACACUGGAACUGAGACACGGUCCAGACUCCUACGGGAGGCAGCAGUGGGGAAUAUUGCACAAUGGGCGCAAGCCUGAUGCAGCCAUGCCGCGUGUGUGAAGAAGGCUUUCGGGUUGUAAAGCACUUUCAGCGAGGAGGCGUUACUCGCAGAAGAAGCACCGGCUAACUCCGUGCCAGCAGCCGCGGUAAUAC
rnacentral:rRNA from 1 species